rnacentral:rRNA from 1 species
AGGAUGAACGCUGGCGGCGUGCCUAAUACAUGCAAGUCGAGCGGUAAGGCUACUUCGGUAGUACACGAGCGGCGGACGGCUGAGUAACACGUAGGAACGUACCCCAAAGUGAGGCAUAAGCACCAGAAAUGGUGUCUAAUACCGCAUGUGAUCUUCGGAUUAAAGCUUCGGCGCUUUGGGAACGGCCUGCGCAUGAUUAGCUUGUUGGUGAGGUAAUAGCUCACCAAGGCGACGAUCAUUAGCUGGUCUGAGAGGAUGACCAGCCAGACUGGGACUGAGAACGGCCCAGACUCCUACGGGAGGCAGCAGUAGGGAAUUUUCCACAAUGGGCGAAAGCCUGAUGGAGCAACGCCGCGUGCAGGAUGAAGGCUCUCGGGUCGUAAACUGCUUUUAUAUGUGAAGAUUAUGACGGUAGCAUAUGAAUAAGGAUCGGCUAACUCCGUGCCAGCAGCCGGC